UCCGUGGUCAGCUCUGGGGACAGAGAGAGGGACAGGGGUCAGUGUGGUCAGUGUGGUCAGUGGUCAGUGUGGUCAGUGUGGGCAGUGGUCAGUGUGGUCAGUGUGGGCAGUGGUCAGUGGGAUCAGUGGUCAGUGUGGUCAGUGUGGUCAGUGUGGGCAGUGGGAUCAGUGGUCAGUGUGGUCAGUGUGGGCAGUGGUCAGUGGGAUCAGUGGUCAGUGUGGUCAGUGUGGUCAGUGUGGGCAGUGGGGCAGCAGCGCCAGCUCCGUGGUCAGCUCUGGGGAGAGAACCAGGGGUCAGUGGUCAGUGUGGGCAGUGUGGUCAGUGUGGGCAGUGGUCAGUGUGGUCAGUGGGGCGGCAGCGCCAGCGCGUGCGCCACGGCCGGGUCCGAGCGCAGCGCCGGGGGCAGCAGGGCCAGCUCCGUGGUCAGCUCUGGGGAGAGAACCAGGGGUCAGUGGUCAGUGUGGGCAGUGUGGUCAGUGGGGUCAGUGUGGUCAGUGGUCAGUGUGGUCAAUGGUCAGUGUGGGCAGUGUGGUCAGUGUGGUCAGUAUGGUCAGUGUGGUCAGUGUGGGCAGUGUGGUCAGUGUGGUCAGUGUGGUCAGUGUGGUCAGUGGUCAGUGUGGGCAGUGUGGUCAGUGUGGUCAGUGGUCAGUGUGGUCAGUGGUCAGUGUGGUCAGUGUGGUCAGUGGUCAGUGGGGCAGCAGCGCCAGCGCGUGCGCCACGGCCGGGUCCGAGCGCAGCGCCGGGGGCAGCAGCGCCAGCUCCGUGGUCAGUUCUGGGGACAGAGAGAGGGACAGGGGUCAGUGUGGUCAGUGUGGUCAGUGGGCAGUGGGGCAGCAGCGCCAGCUCCGUGGUCAGUUCUGGGGACAGAGAGAGGGGUCAGUGGUCAGUGGUCAGUGUGGUCAGUGUGGUCAGUGGUCAGUUUUCAGUGUGGUCAGUGUGGUCAGUGGGGCAGCAGCGCCAGCUCCGUGGUCAGCUCUGGGGAGAGACAGGGGUCAGUGGGGUCAGUGGUCAGUGUGGUCAGUGGUCAGUGGGGCGGCAGCGCCAGCGCGUGCGCCACGGCCGGGUCCGAGCGCAGCGCCGGGGGCAGCAGCGCCAGCUCCGUGGUCAGCUCUGGGGACAGAGAGAGGGGUCAGUGUGGUCAGUGUGGUCAGUGUGGUCAGUGGUCAGUGGGGGGGUCAGUGGUCAGUGUUGUGGUCAGUGUGGUGGUCAGUGGGGGGGUCACUGUGGUCAGUGUGGUCAGUGUUGUGGUCAGUGUGGUCAGUGUGGUCAGUGUGGUCAGUGUGGUCAGUGUUGUGGUCAGUGUUGUGGUCAGUGUUGUGGUCAGUGUGGUGGUCAGUGGGGGGUCAGUGGGGUCAGCUCUGGGGACACCGAGUGACCCCGGGGGUCACUGGGGACAGGCUCCGUGGUCAGUUCCGGCCGGGUCACUGGUCACCGAGAGCCCCCCCAAUUCCGGACCCCUCCCCAAUUCCG
rnacentral:lncRNA from 1 species